UUUCCGUAGGUGAACCUGCGGAAGGAUCAUUAGAAUGAGAUCGGUGGGCGAAAGCCUGCCAACCUCCACCCUUGUGUAUCAUUCACAUGUUGCUUUGGUGGGCCGCGAGCCUAACGGUGAGCACCGGCUUCGGCUGGGGAGUGCCUGCCAGAGGACCCAACUCUGUAUUAUUAUGAAAUCUGAGUACUAUACAAUAGUUAAAACUUUCAACAACGGAUCUCUUGGUUCUGGCAUCGAUGAAGAGCGCAGC
rnacentral:misc_RNA from 1 species